rnacentral:sRNA from 1 species
ACCAACCAUGACCCAAGUAGCCAACCUUUUUUUUUCCUCUUCAA